ACGGCUUUACAAAGACAGAGUUUGAACACCCUCAAGUGGAUUGGAACCUAAGAACUUCCGAUUGACGCCCGGUAGUUUGCAUCGCUGACAACUGAUCGUGGACCACCGCAAGCUAGACCUCUGUACCAAGUUCAUAGCUGACAUGAAUUCUGUAUACCCCUACAACAGGAACCGGGGGGAGGGGUAAAGCAUCUUCAAUAUCCUGUCCUUGUUCAAGCAUGCGCUCUAGCUCUAUAAGCCGUUUAACUGCAUCACAUAACUGCCGGAUAGAAUUCACCUAAGAAGAGAGAAAAAGAUUGUUGAGAGGAUGGCCAACUCUUAAUUAUUUAUGGCUCUUGGUCAGCAAAUAGGAUGGUGAAAGAGGACAAGGAAUCAUACUGCGUUGGGACAAACAAGUAGUCAGUAGGCUUUUAGUAUCCAUCGAAGUCUUGAAUCCUUCGGUAGGAGAUUUAAAAGAAGAUACAUAAUUAAAACUUCCGCAAAGGACGAGGAAGCGGGAAGGAACGGAAGAAUUUCAGUUUUCAAUGAAAUCAAUCAGGACGAAAGACGAA